ACAACGCUGGCGGCAUGCUAACACUGCAGGUUAACGCUAUUUAUAGAGUGGCGCACGGGUGAGUAACGCGUGGGAACCUGCCUUUUUCUGCGGGAUAACGGUUGGAAACGACCGCUAAUACCGCAUACGCCCUACGGGGGAAAGGUCCGCCGGAGAAAGAGGGGCCCGCGUCUGAUUAGCUAGUUGGUGGGGUAAUGGCCUACCAAGGCGACGAUCAGUAGCUGGUCUGAGAGGAUGAUCAGCCACACUGGGACUGAGACACGGCCCAGACUCCUACGGGAGGCAGCAGUGGGGAAUAUUGGACAAUGGGGGCAACCCUGAUCCAGCAAUGCCGCGUGUGUGAUGAAGGCCCUAGGGUUGUAAAGCACUUUCACUGGUGAAGAUGAUGACGGUAACCAGAGAAGAACGACCCCGGCUAACUUCGUGCCAGACAGCCGCGGUAAUACGAAGGGGGCGAGCGUUGUUCAGGAAUUACUGGGCGUAAAGGGCGCGUAGGCAGGUCUUUUAAGUUAGGCGUGAAAUCCCCGUGGCUCAACCCAGGGAACUGCGCUUAAACACUGGACAG
rnacentral:rRNA from 1 species